rnacentral:lncRNA from 10 species
AAGAGACUGGGGAAUUAGGAUGUUCAAAAGCAGUCGUGUGUACGGGCCAUUUAGAAUUGCACAAGCGCACAGAGGCACGCCCGGAAGAGCCCUGAAGAGACCUGGAGUUUGCACCUCGGGCGGGGUCAAGGAGAGGACAUGGAGAACUGCAGGCCUCGGGCAUGGCUGCUGGAACAGGCAAUGGGGAAGCUGCUGCGGAACCUGGAUGGAGGUUCCCCAAAAAUCAUACACAGGAUUCCCACAGGGCCCAGCAGCUCCACUUCUGAGUAGCAACCCCAGAGAAGUGAAGGCAGGGGCUCAAACAGGUAUUUGUACACCUGUAUACACAGGAGCACACUCACCACAGUCAAGAGGGGCAGCAGCCCAGGUGUGCGCAGGAAGAUGAAUGGAGAAGUGAAACGUGGUGAUCCAUGCCAUGGAGGAUGAGCUUCAAAGGGAAGGAAAUCUGACCCGGGCUGCAACACGUGUGGACCUUGAGGACCUUACACUGAGACGAGCCAGGCACAAAAGGGUUUCACCCUACAGACAAUAAACUCCACAGCCUGCGGGGGAA